rnacentral:tRNA from 1 species
CCCAAUGUGGCGCAGAUGGAAGCGUGCUUGGCUCAUGACCAAGAGGACACAGGAUCGAAACCUGUCAUUGGGC